rnacentral:rRNA from 1 species
AUUGAACGCUGGCGGCAUGCCUUACACAUGCAAGUCGAACGGCAGCACGGGGCAACCUGGUGGCGAGUGGCGAACGGGUGAGUAAUGCAUCGGAACGUACCUUUCAGUGGGGGAUAACGUAGCGAAAGUUACGCUAAUACCGCAUAUUCUGUGAGCAGGAAAGCAGGGGAUCGCAAGACCUUGCGCUGAUUGAGCGGCCGAUGUCAGAUUAGCUAGUUGGUGAGGUAAAGGCUCACCAAGGCGACGAUCUGUAGCGGGUCUGAGAGGAUGAUCCGCCACACUGGAACUGGGACACGGUCCAGACUCCUGCGGGAGGCAGCAGUGGGGAAUUUUGGACAAUGGGGGCAACCCUGAUCCAGCCAUGCCGCGUGAGUGAAGAAGGCCUUCGGGUUGUAAAGCUCUUUCGGCCGGGAAGAAAUCGCACGGGCUAAUGCCCUGUGUGGAUGACGGUACCGGAAUAAGAAGCACCGGCUAACUACGUGCCAGCCGCCGCGGUAACAC